UCUCAAUGUCAAUUGGAAUGGUAGCAUUAGACUCUACUCAGAGAUUUUCACAUUCAGGGGAAAUUUGGUUUUUUCUUAACUGGAUAAAGCAAAACUUCAUGAACCCAGUGUUAUGUGAAAAUUAGAAAAAUAAACUAUGCCUCCUAGAAUAGAUAAUAGAAAUAAAGAGAAAGCACUAAUGGCAGAAACAGAAGACUAGUGAAAGAUUACUUUGAGCCUUGAAAAAGUACAGAUAAUUAUUAAUGUUAAUAUUGUUAUCAAUAUCAUCUAUUGAGAAUCUACAAGGCCCAAAACAGGCCCUCUCUGUACACUCUCUCUAACCCUCAAACAAGCCCCCAUUAAAUAGGUGUUAUCUCUGCUUCCCAGGAGAAGAAACCAAGAUUCAGAAAGGUCAAGAAGAAUCUUGCCUAAAUGAGGUAACCAACCAUACCAUUCAAAGCCUUACAGCUCCAAGAAAACCAGGACAGCAAUGCCAAGCUGCAUAGCUGAUGGAUAGAGAAGCCUAGAUCCCAACCAGGGUUUGUCUGGCUCCAUGUCUCACUCUCUUGCCACAAUGCCAGAGGGAAUACCAACAAAUGGGCAAAAUAAAUUUGUAAAUACAUACAAAGAAUUGAAGAAAGGAAUAACAGGAGAGAAAGAGGGAGGUAGAAAGAAAGAAAAAAAGAACAAAUGAAUGAGCAAGAAAAAGGAAGGAACUAAGAGCAAGGGAGGAAACAAAGAAGGGUGGAAGGAAGUUGUAAAUGUACUACAAAGAGAAAAAUUUUCCUAUGAAGCCAAGAAGCAUGAUACUUAAAACAAUUUAACUAAAACUUCAGUUUUUAAUUUCUAUUUUCACAAAGUUCUAAAAGCAUGUCUGUUGUAAGUGGUGCACUGACAGAUGAAGAGAGUGGGAGAGCACCUGGGGCUCCCUGAACCCCUCUGGAGCCUACACAUUCAGCCUUUGCAAAACUCUCAGUGUGCUGCGUUUAAAGAGAACAGCAAUGCUCUCAGUUUGCUCUGUGUCU
rnacentral:lncRNA from 1 species